CCAGACUCCUACGGGAGGCAGCAGUGAGGAAUCUUCCACAAUGGGCGAAAGCCUGAUGGAGCAACGCCGCGUGCAGGAUGAAGGCCUUCGGGUUGUAAACUGCUUUUAUAAGUGAGGAAUAUGACGGUAGCUUAUGAAUAAGGAUCGGCUAACUACGUGCCAGCAGCCGCGGUCAUACGUAGGAUCCGAGCGUUAUCCGGAGUGACUGGGCGUAAAGAGUUGCGUAGGCGGUUUGUUAAGUGAAUAGUGAAAUCUGGUGGCUCAACCAUACAGGCUAUUAUUCAAACUGGCAAACUCGAGAGUGGUAGAGGUCACUGGAAUUUCUUGUGUAGGAGUGAAAUCCGUAGAUAUAAGAAGGAACACCGAUGGCGUAGGCAGGUGACUGGACCAUUUCUGACGCUAAGGCACGAAAGCGUGGGGAGCGAACCGGAUUAGAUACCCGGGUAGUCCACGCCGUAAACGAUGGAUACUGGCUGUUGGAGGUAUCGACCCCUUCAGUAGCGAAGCUAACGCGUUAAGUAUCCCGCCUGUGGAGUACGGUCGCAAGACUAAAACAUAAAGGAAUUGACGGGGGCCCGCACAAG
rnacentral:rRNA from 1 species